rnacentral:rRNA from 1 species
CCUACGGGGUGCAGCAGUGGGGAAUAUUGCACAAUGGGGGGAACCCUGAUGCAGCAACGCCGCGUGAAGGAAGACGGUUUUCGGAUUGUAAACUUCUAUCAAUAGGGAAGAAAGAAAUGACGGUACCUAAAUAAGAAGCCCCGGCUAACUACGUGCCAGCAGCCGCGGUAAUACGGAGGAUGCGAGCGUUAUCCGGAUUUAUUGGGUUUAAAGGGUGCGCAGGCGGGCUGUUAAGCCGGCGGUAAAAAUUCAGGGCUCAACCUUGUCGAGCCGUCGGAACUGGCAGUCUUGAGUGGGCGAGAAGUAUGCGGAAUGCGUGGUGUAGCGGUGAAAUGCAUAGAUAUCACGCAGAACGCCGAUUGCGAAGGCAGCAUACCGGCGCCCAACUGACGCUGAGGCACGAAAGCGUGGGGAUCGAACAGGAUUAGAUACCCCAGUAGUC